UCCCUCAUAGCUCAGUCGGUAAAGAAUCUGCCUGCAAUGCAGGAAACCCAGGUUCGAUUCCUGGGUCGGGAA
rnacentral:tRNA from 1 species